UCAAUCUCAAAGGGGUGCCGUAAGGCUGAGAUCACACCCAUUGAACCUGGGCAGGUAAUGCUGCCAAGGGAAAAUAACAUUAGUUUAAAU
rnacentral:ncRNA from 1 species